CACAAACAGUUUUUUUUUUAAUCCGAUUCAUUAAUUGACCAAAUAAUUGAAAAGAAUAAUUGAUUCUUACAAUAAUUGUUAAUUGCAGACCUAUUGGAAACCAGCGAGAAAGAUGUCAGCGAUCCCGAAGGUCACAUUGUUCGGUUUGUGCUCCAUUUCCAUUUCCGACAAAUCUAUUCCUCCGUGACUGCCACACAUUGCAUUUAUUCUAUCCGAGUGAUGAAGACAAUGCAGAGUUGAAAGUUACACCAGAACAAGACCGGCGGUGCACUAGCACGUGACGACAAAAGAACAAAAGCCAUCAAUGCAGGAAGGAAUUUGAGAAAUGUUGAAAAGUCAACAGAGGUGCACACACACGUACACACACAACUAAAUUGUAUCCUCAGGUUUCAAUGCUCACCUGCUGUUACUUAUUGUGAGACCGCAGAGCACAUUUAAAAAUCCCGGCUGGUGCUGCAAGAGGAUGCAACACUCUGAAGUUGGGACAUGGUGAGAUAGAAUCUGAGGACAGGGCUCAUAAAGUAAGUGCAAAGGUCAAAGGUAGUGACAGCCGUUAAGGUCAUGGAGUUGAAAUGGUUAUGUGCCUCUGAAGGUAAUGAGUAUUUACUGCUCUUCAUACUCAGGAAACAUUAUGCGGUUUAAAUGUGUAAUUUGUUCCUAAAAUUGUAUCUCACUGACACAAAUCCAGAAGAUGACAUAAUUGAUUUUUUUUUUUUUUUUUGCUAUGCAUUUGUGAUUAAACAUUUUCCCAAAAGGCCCAUGCUCAGGUGAUGGAUAUGUGCCAGUUCCUGCAGCCCCCGAACCCCCGCCUCUCUUUUGCUGCAUUUCUAUGCUAUGUGCUUAGUGUUCACGUUGGCCGAUUCCCAGCUCUGGCUACUUUGCUCCAGUUCCCAUUCCCCUCUCACUUGGCCCCGCUCUCUCAGUCUCAGCACAAUCAAGUGCUCCCGGUCAGCCAUAGGCAUUUCAUUAGUUAAGUGCCAAUUCCUUAGCAACCGGGGCAGGUAAAGCACUUGACCACAUGCUGGAUGCUGAAUUUGAAUAAGGGCCUGAGCCUGUGCCGAGUGCUUCAAUAGACAAGGUCUAAACAACUUCUGAAAAGCAAACAAGCAAGUGAAGAUCAUUCGGUAUUUAAAUGAGGCAACUCAGACGAAGCUUUACAAACAAUGGGACAGAGAUUAGGUAGGUAGUAGGUUCAAGGAACAUGUUCAAAGUUCAAAUUUAUUACUGGUGGGAAAAAAAAAAUUCUAAUCUCUGUCCGUAUAGAAAAAUGUUUUUUGGCAUGGUCUUCAUCUGAAGGACUAACAAACUCCAAACUACACAAAUUUUACGAUCAACAAAAUAAGUCUGAGAUGAAUAGAACAAAAGAAAAAGAGGGUCUUUCUUUUUAUGGGUUUAGCAAUUCUCAGCACAUCCCUGCAUUUGAUAAGCGUUUAAGGUAGUGUAACUUGAUUAGAAAUUAUUGAUAAUGAUACAUUGACCACAUCAGGCACUGCUUGAUGUGAAGCAGAAAAAAAAAAAAAAACGCAUUGCUAUUUUAAACUAAAAAGUUAUGGAGUACUAACCAGAAGUGAGUUUGGUUUCAAUGAAUGCAGUUGUUUCCAGUUGUAGAGUUUGAGCUUUGAGAAAUGUAUUCAAAAUGUGCAGUGCACUACCGGUACUUGAAUAUAAACAGCAGUGGUACAGUUUCUAUAAUCUCAAAUAGUUUUCGUCUUGAAGAACCUGACUAAAAAGCAAUUCAUAUGAGAACCUAUGACUUCAUGAUCAAUUGAUUGUUUUGACCAUUUUUUUUCAAAUGUCCAUACCAUGCCUAAUACACAUCACCAGAUUCACCAAGAUUACGAACAUUGCUACCAUUCAAACAAAACAAGCUCUUACUUUAUAGCAGUUUUGGAGACAACAUGCGACACAAGAUCUCUAAAAGGCGUUGAGUUUACCAAGGUGAGUGCAACUUCUACAUCUCCUUUCCUCCCAGGCUGAUGAACAGGAGGGAAACAGCCGCCGUCAGGUAAAAUGACCCAUAAUGUCCCCUGAAUGCUGCGGCGAACUUUACACGCUCAGCUAGACCACCAUAUCCCCCCUUUUCCACCGUGAGAGCUCAUGCUCAACAAACGCUCCUCAAGAUUUCCCCAACACUUCCUUCAUAUGUGAGCAACAGAGCAGAGCCUUCCCAAGUUGGAAAAAGACUAACAGAUAACAUGGGGGCGGGGGAUGAAAAAAAAUUAACUGGGUUGUUUGCAUUUGGCUAGCGUUCAGGUGAAGUAGUCCGGAUGGCUGAGGGUGCAUGAAAACUGCUAACAGGCCUUUUGGGAGAGGCUGACAGCCAUCGCAUCAAGUAUAUUAACAAUGUUUGCAGAUGGCUAAAAGGCCAGCAGGGAAUAUUGAUGAUAACCUUGUGUUUGUGUGCGUUUCCUGCACACUGCAAACGCACAAAGAGCACUCACAAAGCAGAGAUUAUUUGUGUCUCACUUGACUGUCUUCAAAUACUGAAUAAUGUUGUUCUCUCAUGUCGUUCUCAGAGAUCAAGGUCACAUGACGGCUUUCCAAAAAAUGUAAUGUCUGAGUGUAGACAGCAACGUUUGAUUUAUCCUUUGAGAAAGAAUGUUGGAGGUCAGUGCUAAGUUGUGCUAACUGUGAGAUGUCAUCGUUCUCAGUUUCUCCUUCUCAAACUGAGACAAACCCAAGAUAGCCUGAGACUUUGUUUACUAGCUGGUUGGUCUAUUUUUGACCGUGGAUCUUAAUACGUAACACUGGUAAAUGGUGGCACUGGCUGGGUCUUCAUAUACAAUUAGAGUUGAAAAAUAGGCAAAAAAAACAACAACCAACCAAACAAACAA